rfam:Chlorocebus sabaeus isolate 1994-021 chromosome 16, whole genome shotgun sequence.
UAAAAGGUUCUCUUUGGAACCAUUCUGGUACACAAAAUAUAUCUG